rnacentral:rRNA from 1 species
AGAGAAGCGCAAACGGUGGAUGCCUUGGCAGUAAGAGGCGAAGAAGGACGUGGAAUCCUGCGAAAAGCUAUGGGGAGCUGGAAACGAGCGUUGAGCCAUAGAUGUCCGAAUGGGGGAACCCGGCUGCAGCGAUGCGGUCAUUUGCAUUUGAAUACAUAGGAUGCAAAGGCGAACUCGGGGAACUGAAACAUCUAAGUACCCGAAGGAAAAGAAAUCAAGAGAGAUUCUCCAAGUAGCGGCGAGCGAACGGGGAGGAGCCUGGCGUGAUUUAUUAUUGAACUGAGUAGAACAAUUUGGGAAAGUUGGCCGUAGAGGGUGAAAGCCCCGUAUACGAAGGUUUGAUGAGGAACUAGGCACGCGAACAAGUAGGCCGGGACACGUGAAAUCCUGGUUGAAGAUGGGUGGACCAUCAUCCAAGGCUAAAUACUACUUACUGACCGAUAGUGAACCAGUACCGUGAGGGAAAGGUGAAAAGAACCCCGGAGAGGGGAGUGAAAUAGAAUCUGAAACCGUUUGCGUACAAGCAGUGGGAGCAUAGUUUAGGCUGUGUGACUGCGUACCUUUUGUAUAAUGGGUCAGCGAGUUACUUUCAGUGGCGAGGUUAACUGAAUAAGGGAGCCGUAGAGAAAUCGAGUCUGAAUAGGGCGAUAGUCGCUGGGAGUAGACCCGAAACCGGGCGAUCUAGCCAUGUGCAGGAUGAAGGUUGGGUAACACCAACUGGAGGUCCGAACCGGGUAAUGUUGAAAAAUUAUCGGAUGACGUGUGGCUAGGAGUGAAAGGCUAAUCAAGCCCGGAGAUAGCUGGUUCUCCCCGAAAGCUAUUUAGGUAGCGCCUCGUGAAUGAUUACUGGGGGUAGAGCACUGUUUCGGCUAGGGGGCUGUCAUGGCUUACCAAACCGAUGCAAACUCCGAAUACCGGCUAAUUGGAUCACGGGAGACACACGGCGGGUGCUAACGUC